rnacentral:rRNA from 1 species
AUUGAACGCUGGCGGCAUGCUUUACACAUGCAAGUCGAACGGCCGCGCGGGCUUCGGCCUGGCGGCGAGUGGCGAACGGGUGAGUAAUGCAUCGGAACGUGCCCAGCCGUGGGGGCUAGCCCGGCGAAAGCCGGAUUAAUACCGCAUACGACCUGAGGGUGAAAGCGGGGGACCGACAGGCCUCGCGCUAUUUGCGCGGCCGAUGUCGGAUUAGCUAGUUGGUGGGGUAAAGGCUUACCAAGGCGACGAUCCGUAGCUGGUCUGAGAGGACGACCAGCCACACUGGAACUGAGACACGGCCCAGACUCCUACGGGAGGCAGCAGUGGGGAAUUUUGGACAAUGGGGGCAACCCUGAUCCAGCCAUGCCGCGUGCGGGAAGAAGGCCUUCGGGUUGUAAACCGCUUUUGUUCGGGAAGAAAUCCUCUGGGCUAAUACCCCGGGGGGAUGACGGUACCGGAAGAAUAAGCACCGGCUAACUACGUG